UAGAAUUGACGGGGCCCGCACAAGCGGUGGAGCAUGUGGUUUAAUUCGAUGCAACGCGAAGAACCUUACCUGGGCUUGACAUCCCGAGAAUCCCCUGGAAACAGGGGAGUGCCCUUCGGGGAGCUCGGAGACAGGUGCUGCAUGGCUGUCGUCAGCUCGUGUCGUGAGAUGUUGGGUUAAGUCCCGCAACGAGCGCAACCCUUGUCUUUAAUUGCCAUCAUUAAGUUGGGCACUCUGUGGAGACUGCCGGUGUCAAACCGGAGGAAGGUGGGGAUGACGUCAAGUCCUCAUGGCCCUUAUGACCAGGGCUACACACGUACUACAAUGGCCGGUACAAAGGGCAGCGACACAGCGAUGUGAAGCCAAUCCCGAAAAGCCGGUCUCAGUCCGGAUUGGAGUCUGCAACUCGACUCCAUGAAGUUGGAAUCGCUAGUAAUCGCGGAUCAGCACGCCGCGGUGAAUACGUUCCCGGGCCUU
rnacentral:rRNA from 1 species